GACGAACGCUGGCAGCGUGCUUAACACAUGCAAGUCGAACGGUAAGGCCCUUCGGGGUACACGAGUGGCGAACGGGUGAGUAACACGUGGGUGAUCUGCCCUGCACUUCGGGAUAAGCCUGGGAAACUGGGUCUAAUACCGGAUAGGACCACUGCCUGCAUGGGUGGUGGUGGAAAGCUUUUGCGGUGUGGGAUGGGCCCGCGGCCUAUCAGCUUGUUGGUGGGGUGAUGGCCUACCAAGGCGGCGACGGGUAGCCGGCCUGAGAGGGUGACCGGCCACACUGGGACUGAGAUACGGCCCAGACUCCUACGGGAGGCAGCAGUGGGGAAUAUUGCACAAUGGGCGCAAGCCUGAUGCAGCGACGCCGCGUGAGGGAUGACGGCCUUCGGGUUGUAAACCUCUUUCAGCACCGACGAAGCGCAAGUGACGGUAGGUGCAGAAGAAGGACCGGCCAACUACGUGCCAGCCGCCGCCGAA
rnacentral:rRNA from 1 species